UGGGGAAUAUUGGACAAUGGGGGCAACCCUGAUCCAGCAAUGCCGCGUGUGUGAAGAAGGUCUUCGGAUUGUAAAGCACUUUCGACGGGGACGAUGAUGACGGUACCCGUAGAAGAAGCCCCGGCUAACUUCGUGCCAGCAGCCGCGGUAAUACGAAGGGGGCUAGCGUUGCUCGGAAUGACUGGGCGUAAAGGGCGUGUAGGCGGUUUACACAGUCAGAUGUGAAAUCCCCGGGCUUAACCUGGGAGCUGCAUUUGAUACGUGUAGACUAGAGUGUGAGAGAGGGUUGUGGAAUUCCCAGUGUAGAGGUGAAAUUCGUAGAUAUUGGGAAGAACACCGGUGGCGAAGGCGGCAACCUGGCUCAUGACUGACGCUGAGGCGCGAAAGCGUGGGGAGCAAACAGGAUUAGAUACCCUGGUAGUCCACGCUGUAAACGAUGUGUGCUAGAUGUUGGGUAACUU
rnacentral:rRNA from 1 species